rnacentral:lncRNA from 1 species
GGGCACCCUCCCCUUGUCAGGAACUCUCAGCUGGAACUAAGAGGCUGUAGCUGUUCUCACUGCCUUUCUAUUUUCAUCUGUCUUGAACACUCCGUGCUGUGGUUUGAACUUACAAAGGGAUCCUGUGUUGGGAACUCAGUCCUCUGUGUGGAGAGGCUGGGAGUGGGACCUCGAAGACAUGGCUACAAGGAGAGAUCCAUAGGUUGGCCAUGGCUGCAGCUGGGUUCGUGGAGAUCCAGGUGCUACUUGUGUUGGUAGAUGUCCCUGGCAUUUAUGCGGAAGAGCUGACCAUAGUCAUUUGGCUCUCGUGACUUCGGGUGCUACGGUGGUUUCCACUCAGACUUCAAACAAGCCUGACAGACAGAGCAGACAUUUG